AUGUGCUCUGGUGUGCACCCGCGUCUCCUUCACACAGCCUCUAGGAGCCUGGAGAUUGCAAGCCUCACCCUGUGCUGUCAUCAUGGGCCAGAGCCCAGACCCCUGGCUCAGCGCGCAAGUACUCUCCCUGCCCAGGCUCUACUCUCUUUCCUUCUUUCCCUCCCUACUCUCCCUGCCCAGAGGGAAACACCAUCUGCAGUUCCCUGCCCUCAUCUCACUAGGCCCUUCCUUUCCUUCCUUCCCUCCUUCCUUUCCUUCCCUUCCUUCCUUUCCUUCCUUCCCUUCCUUCCUUCCCUCCUUUCCUUCCUUCCUUCCUUCCUCUUCCUUUCCUUCUUUCCCUUCCUUCUUUCCUUCCUUUCGUUCCUCCCCUCCUCUUCCUUUCCUUCUUUUCCUUCCUUCCUUCCCUCUUUCCUUUCCAUUCCUUUCCUUCCUUCCCUCCUUUCCUUUCCUUCCUUCCCUCCUUCCUUUCCUUUCCUUCCUUUCCUUCCUCCCCUCCCUUCCUUCGUUCCCUCCUUCUUUUUCCUUCCUUCCCUCCUUCCUUCUUUUCCUUCCUUCCCUCCUUCCUCCUUCUUUCUUUCCUUUCCUUUCCUUUCCUUUCCUUUCCUUCCUUCUUUCCUUUCCCUUCCUUUCCUUCCUUCCCCUCCUCCCCUCCUUUCCCUCCUUCCCUCAUUCUCUUUCCUUCCUUCCCUCCUUCCUUCCUUUCCUUCCUUCCCUCCUCUUCCCUCCCUCCCUCCCUCCCUCCCUUCCUUCCUUCCUUCCUUCCUUCCUUCCUUCCUUCCUUCCUUCCUUCCAUCCUUCCUUCCUUCCUUCCUUCCCUCCCUCCUAUUUCUUCUCCCCUCCCCUGUGAUCCCCUCCUUUCCCUUCCUUCUUUUCUUGGUACUCUUGUGCAGGAUUCAAGUACUAAGUGCCUGGCGACCUCUUCACCUAGAGCAACGCUGCCAUGCAGCUAAUGGGCACAGCCUGGGGUGCACCUGCUGUACGUUCUGCUCCUUAGUCAUGGUCUGUGCUGUAGCAGCUGUGAAAUUUUUUGCACUGAGAUCAACUAAAGCAGGGGACAACAAAACAGAAAAAUCCCUUCUCUGGGACACAUAUAUGCUGUCGAGGGGGGCUGCUUCCCCCACCUCCAAGACUCCGGUGCGCCUCUCCGCUCGCCCCUCACCCCGACGCACGGUGAAGCCCCCCAGCUCCUGA
rnacentral:lncRNA from 1 species